GUUUCUCAUUGUUUCUCAUUUAUUGUGUCAGUGAUAUCAAGAGCGGUGGUUGUUUGUUUAACGUCGCGACGAAGGCUCGCGCCCCGCAGCAGGCCAAAGCCCACGCGGGCGUAAGCCAGCGCCCCGACCAAUGGAGUUCACAAGGUGGUGAAUUUGACUGCUCGAUCAGUGACGCGAAACGCGUACAGUCGAGAUCAGCCAAUGUAUUCAGUAAUGAUCCAACCGCAGGUUCACCUACGGUUA
rnacentral:misc_RNA from 1 species